CAGUGACUCAUGGCUUGAUUUCCUUUGAGGGACCUUUCCAUUCACAUGGAUGUAGAUAUGAAACAAAGUUCUAUUAGAUUCAGAUCCCGUAGUGGGAGAGGCCAUUCUCUAAUCAAUGUAUACUCAUUUUAUUCCCUAACUGAUGAGCACCCACUUUGCUACCUUGUCCUAUGAGGAACUGGAAGCUUACCCCACCAACUACCAACCAACUGCCAGUCACUGGGGGAAGCAUGCCAGGACUGAAAAAGCCACAGGGUGCCCUGAGGGAAAGACAGGAGACGGCUGUGCCAGUGGAAAUGACAUCAAAGAAGAGGCCUGAUUGGCUGCCUUGUUACCGCACCCCAAGGACCAGAAGACCUUUCUCUGACUUGCAGCUGAACCCUUCCCUGUGUGUUGUUUCUCCCCUUAGAAUGGGAGCUCCUGGAGGGCAGGGAUGGUCUGACUUUCCUGUCUGUGUCCCCAUCACAGAGUACCAUGCUUGGAACUCAGUAAGCACUUAAAAACACUUUCUAAAACCAUCCAAAAAUCCUGCUGUUUUGGCAUAAAUACUGGACUUUGGUUUCUUUCUUUCUCCAUUUCCUUGACAAAGAUGUUCAGCAGUGGGAGAACUAAGUCCAGGGACAGUUUAGUCACUUUAUUUGCUUAACUCCACAAUGAAAUCAAUAAUGAUUAGACCACUUCCCAGCACCACUAACAGAACAUCAGUGUGCCUGUCUUCCAACACCAGCUCCCCCUCAAUGACUGUUCCUAUCCCUUUAACAAUUUGUGUGAUGUCAGGUAAAACCUCCAAGUUGUUUAUCUUUUAGUUUUUGAAAAUUGUUUAAUUAUAUCCUCACAAAAAAACCUGAGUAACAUAAUUCCAAAAAGUUUAUUAAAAAAGCAAACAUCAGAAGGCAAUAGCGAAGGAAGCGUGCCAUUUCUUUUACUUUUUGCAAGUGAAAUAAGACACUUUGAGAAGUACAAAGGAAUAACCAAUCAAGUGAGGUGAAGUAGCAAAAGGACUGCUGCUCUUGAGGAAAAGGCCACAGGAGAGCAGAGACAAAAGAUCUAUCCUCUACUGAGGCCCUUCCUCCUCUCCGCCAGAAAGGUUACCCAAAGGCAUUGAGGUCAGGGUCCUGACUUGUUCAGGGGACAAGGAGGCUCAACGAAGGAGCUCAUGACAAGCAGCCUCCCCUGGGAGCUAAAAAGGGGCUCUCUGCUCAACACUUUACAAGGGGAUCUCACCAAAGGACUGCAUCAGCCAUGGUUUGCAGUGACACACCUGCCUGGCUGGACUCACUCACCUGGAUG